CCCUGCCCCCUGCAUCUGACACCAAAUGCAGGAGGUGGGGCUUGGUGGCACACACAUGUUUCGCACAUGCAUUUUUUUUAAAGGGUGCAGGGGGAUAUUUUGGCUGUCCCUCAACCCGUUGAGCUGGCACUGGGGCUAAAGCUGCUGAAUAAAUGAUGUUUUAAAAAGAUUUGCUUCAAAAUAAGUCUGUGCAAAUCAGUUUAUUAGGGAUUUUUUUUAAGCUGCCUUUCUCUCCUGCAGUAUUCCCCAAGGUUUUUUUUUAAUCUGUGUGUGGAGAUCAGUUUUGUUCUGGGUGGCAGUAUGAAGGCAGUGUGCACGCACAUGCAUUCAGAGUGAUUCAACCUGGUCGGGAUCUAAAAUUAGCUGAGUGGACAUCAAAAAACUUGAGUGCAUGCACACAUGCAAAAGCUCUCUCUCUCUCUGUGUGUAUAGCCUGCCAUUAAUACUGAUGAGGAAGGGGAACGCUGAUUUAUAGGUUGCAGGGGGGUGCCAGAGCCCCUAGCACCGGCCCUGCUGCAUCAUCCAAAACUGCCUGGAGCCGAGAGACCAACAACUAAUAAACUAAACUUUUUACCUUUUUACUACAAUACUAGACUGUGAUAUGACAUUCGCCCUACUCAGAAUCACUUUGACUCACUUGCUGUGUGAAGUCUCUGGGAUCUGGGGGCAGGGGGCUUCCCUUAGGCUUCAGGGAAUAACCAUAUUUACAUGCCUGAACAUUCUCUUGAGUGUUUGGGGGUUGUGUUCAGGGUGGCACGCAUGUCCAACCUGCCUGUAAACAGUUCAUGGUGGCAGCAGCAAAAUCCCUUUAGGGAGUAAUUGCAGAGCAUAGAAGCCUAACAACCAGGGUCUUGAACUCUGGAUUCUACACAACUCCUGGCUCCAACUAUGGCUUACUUCUCCACAGUCUGCCUUCAUUACUUUCCCUCAGCUGGGCUUUGAUGCUGGAAAUGAAUCUGGUUGGGAGAAAGCUACCUGGGGGCAGAGCUCCUCAUGGUUCUAUACUCCUCAACCACACACCCAUCCCUUUUGAUUUUUACAUCACACACCCUACUACCCCUUUCUCUCUACAUAAUUGGCAUCAAUCCUUGUCUAAACACAUGGAUGUGUCAUAGUUACAUCUUUCUGGUUCUCAUACUCUUUAAUUGGAUAACUUUGUACCACAAACUGUGUCAGGCUGCAGAAAAAUAAUUGUCAUUGGAACUUGAUGGGUUUUCUACUCCAAGUCCUCUGGAAUCUGGCACAAGGCAUGUUACUUCAGAGAGAUCUCCAUUCUACUGAAAGGCAGGCAGGCACCCUGGUUAGUCAAUGUAGAGAGGCAAGACAGAUGCUAACUAAAACAAAAGUGAAACAAAAAUCUUUCAAAAGCUUUAGCUGAAAACAAGAUGUAAGGCACUCAUCUACUUCCUCCUUAAUGAGGUAGUAAGUAGACGACAACCCACUAUUGGCAGGGAUAGGAAUAGAUUUGAUUAUUCUUUCCAGCUGCAGACAAGGUUAAAAGAACAUAUUUUCCCUCACAACAUAGGGUGUUCUUUUCCACAGGAUUUUGUCUUUUGUUGUUGAAAGAAAAACAAGGGGGGCGGGGUGGAAUUCAAAGGGAAAAAUAUAGGAAUUUGACAAUGGCCUCUGAAGCUUGAGAAUUUUGUAAUCAAUCAUUAGUGGAAGGGUAGUUAAGCAAGAAAAGCAGUAUGGUCAGCCAAACACUGCUCUGUCUGUGGACUGCAGCAAUGAUCAUAUCACCAGGCACCUGAGAAAGCAGCCAGUGCACAAUGAACCUAGAGCUGAUAAGUAAGGAACAGCUGAAGGUCAGCAGGACCUCUCCCCAUAUUCGACCAGCUGUAGCCAAUCAAGGUCAGACACUGCUCCACCACUGCCAUCAAAGUCCGCCACUGAUCAAAGUCUGCCCCCCAUACUUGAACAGCUGUGGUCUAUCAAAGUCCACCACUUGAAAUGUUCGCUGUUUUGUAACCCAUUUCUGAUCCACAUAUAAUUUGUACUUUUGUUGUUUCUCCCUUAUCCGAUCCUGAAUCUCUGCAUCCUCAGAGUGAGAUGGCAUGGAAAACCCUAUCAGUUGUUGCCAUUGGGACAGCAGUGAGGUAUCAAUUUAUGGCAAUAAGAGAACCUCCAUAUCCCCAUGAGUGGAUGUCUGAAGGCUGCAAGUGCAGAUCUGAUGGAGUGAGGAGUCUUUUGUAAAGCAGAAGGGAAAUGAUAGUGCAUGGAGAACCAGAAUCAGCCAUUAUAUGCGCUUCAUGGCCAAAGGGUUUAGACCAAAUAGCCUGGAUUUCAGGAGGUCGGUGUUGGGUACGAAAGAGAGUGAUUUGGCACAGUGAAGAGUGUUUCCUACACCCCUAACCAACUCUUUAUCCAAGGAUCCUCACUGCAACAAAUAUCAUAACAACAAAACAUGAAAGAUAAGUAGAUAGAAUACAGCAGAAGUGAACACCUGAGGAUAAAAAAGGGAAGCUGCAAACUGAGGAAGAUAGUAUAUAGUUUGUUAAAUUAUUGGCUGAUACACCAGCUGUAUCCGUUUCUUGAGAUAAACAACCUCUGAACAGUAGUACAUCUGCUGGUCACCUCCAGACUUGACUACUGCAGUGUGCUCUAUGUGGGGCUCACUUUGUACAUAGUCCGGAAACUGCAGUUGGUCCAGAAUGUGGCGGCCAAGUUGGUCUCUGGGUCAUCUCGGAGAGAACAUAUCACUCCUAUCUUAAAAGAUCUACACUGGUCUGUCAGUAAGCUUCCAGGCAAAAUACAAGGUCUUGGUUAUAACCUAUAAAGGCCUAAACAGCUUGGUGCCUGGGUAUUAAGAGAACAUCUUCUUUGCUAUGAAUCACACAGCCCAUUGAGAUCAUCAGGAGAGGUUCAUCUGCAGUUGCCACCAGCUCGUCUGGUGGCUACUCGGGGACAGGUCUUCUCCAUUGCUUCCCCGAGGCUUUGGAACGUGCUCCCUGCUGGAAUAAGAGCCUCCCCAUCUCUUAAAGUAAAGGUAAAGUGUGCCGUCAAGUCAAUUUCGACUCCUGGCACCCACAGAGCCCUGUGCUUUUCUUUGGUAGAAUACAGUAGGGGUAUACCAUUUCCUCCUUCCAUGCAGUAUGAAAUGAUGCCUAUCAGCAUCUUCCUGUAUCACUGCUGCAUGAUACAGGUGUUUCCCAUAGUCUGGGAAACAUAGUCUGGGAAGCAUACCAGCGGGGAUUCGAACUGGCAAGCUUCUGCUUGUUAGUCAAGUAUUUCCCCACUGUGCCACUUAAGGUGGACCCCCCCCCCUUACAACUUUUAAAAAGGCAGUCAAGACACAUUUGUUCAUACAGGCUUUUAAUUAGAUACUGUUUUAGUAGUUUGGUGGUUUUUAAUAGUUUUAAUGUUUUAAAACUAUUAAAAUAGUUUUGAAAUUUCAAAAUUGUUGUAAUGUUUUAAC